rnacentral:rRNA from 1 species
GACGAACGCUGGCGGCGUGCUUAACACAUGCAAGUCGAACGAGGCCCCUCCUUCGGGAGGGUGUCCUAGUGGCGAACGGGUGAGUAACACGUGGGCAACCUACCCCCGGCUCGGGGAUAACCCCAAGAAAUUGGGGCUAAUACCGGAUACGACCGCUGACCGCAUGGUCCGGUGGUGGAAAGAUUUAUCGGCUGGGGAUGGGCCCGCGGCCUAUCAGCUUGGUGGUGGGGUAGUGGCCUACCAAGGCGACGACGGGUAGACGGCCUGAGAGGGUGACCGGCCACACUGGGACUGAGACACGGCCCAGACUCCUACGGGAGGCAGCAGUGGGGAAUAUUGCGCAAUGGGCGGAAGCCUGACGCAGCGACGCCGCGUGGGGGAUGACGGCCUUCGGGUUGUAAACCUCUUUCAGCAGGGACGAAGCGCAAGUGACGGUACCUGCAGAAGAAGCACCGGCCAACUACGUGCCAGCAGCCGCCGCGGUAA